rnacentral:rRNA from 1 species
GACGAACGCUGGCGGCGUGCCUAAUACAUGCAAGUCGAGCGAAUGAUGAGAAGCUUGCUUCUCUGAUUUAGCGGCGGACGGGUGAGUAACACGUGGGCAACCUGCCCUGUAGACUGGGAUAACUUCGGGAAACCGGAGCUAAUACCGGAUAAUUCUUUUAGCCUCAUGGCUUUAAGCUAAAAGGCGCUUCGGCGUCACUACAGGAUGGGCCCGCGGUGCAUUAGCUAGUUGGUGGGGUAACGGCCUACCAAGGCAACGAUGCAUAGCCGACCGGAGAGGGUGAUCGGCCACAUUGGGACUGAGACACGGCCCAAACUCCGACGGGAGGCAGCAGUAGGGAAUCUUCCACAAUGGACGAAAGUCUGAUGGAGCAACGCCGCGUGAGUGAUGAAGGUUUUCGGAUCGUAAAACUCUGUUGUAAGGGAAGAACAAGUGCGUUAGGUAAUGAACGCACCUUGACGGUACCUUAUUAGAAAGCCACGGCUAACUACGUGCCAGCCGCCGCGGUAA